AACGAACGCUGGCGGCAUGCCUAACACAUGCAAGUCGAACGAAGCCUUCGGGCUUAGUGGCGCACGGGUGCGUAACGCGUGGGAAUCUGCCCUUAGGUACGGAAUAACUCAGGGAAACUUGUGCUAAUACCGUAUGAUGUCGAGAGACCAAAGAUUUAUCGCCUAGGGAUGAGCCCGCGUAGGAUUAGCUAGUUGGUGGGGUAAAGGCCUACCAAGGCGAAGAUCGGUAGCUGGUCUGAGAGGAUGAUCAGCCACACUGGAACUGAGACACGGUCCAGACUCCUACGGGAGGCAGCAGUGGGGAAUAUUGGACAAUGGGGGGAACCCUGAUCCAGCAAUGCCGCGUGCGUGAAGAAGGCC
rnacentral:rRNA from 1 species